rnacentral:lncRNA from 10 species
CCUGUCCCAGUGGAAUUAAUGGAAGCUGUCAACAGCCCGCCCCCGACCUCACUGGAUAUAACUGUGUCCUCGGCAGAUUCGCGUCAGUGUCAACUUAAAAGCAAGAGGGCUUUGAUCCAGAGGCUUUGACAAGGCUACUGCUCAUCCAACUCAGCCAGAAAGUAGGGUAAACUGAGCGCUAAUAUCUGAGACAACUUUUUCAGGGUGGUAUCGAAUGAAGGGAGAGAAUAACCAGAGGAAGGGCUGAAAAUCCUGGAGAACACCAACAUUAACAAG